GGCCUCGUAUCUAAUUUGGCUAGAGCCAUGGCUGAACUAAAGCCUUUCCCAUGCUGGCGUGGGUUCGAAUCCCACUGAGGUCU
rfam:Schistocephalus solidus strain NST_G2 genome assembly, scaffold: SSLN_scaffold0013791